AGGAAUUUGAUCAUGUAUUUUGAGCCUGACAUAUAAUGACCUGACCAUGCAUCUACUCAAACCCAACUCUUAUAACUGCUGCCAAUUCGAGGAUGAUUUAAAGUAGUUAGCAAGUUUUCUCUGCCAAGCUCUAUGUAUCUGUAAUUAUAUGCAGAUGGGUGGACUGAUGAGUGCUGAGUCGCUGGUGUGGUUUAUGGUUUAACAUUGACCAAGCAGCCAGAUGCAAUGUGAAGGAUGUGGUUUUCGGACAUGAACUUCAUAUCAUUAUGGGAAAGAGUAUGAUGUUUUCUCUUUUUCUAUCCUGAUUUACAACAAUCUGAAUUUUCCUUUCUACAGAUGUAGUGAGACCAAUUAUGUCCUGAAGGAAUAUGUUCGGGCCCAAGCUGCGCCUGACAACAGAGCCACACCACAGCUGGCCACUACAGACAAACUCCCUGAACCAAACCCCCUAACAUACACAAAAAAAAACACAACCGAUCCGGCCUGGUCCAGCACUAUCAAGACAUUCUGCAAAAGCUGGUAAGCCUCCAGCAAUCUUCAAGAGCCAUAACAAUGUCUGGCAGAUAGAGCUGCAUUUUGUCAACAGUUGCCAGCAUGGAUCAGCUUUGCAUGCCCUUGAUCUGGCGCUAAUAUGAGGCUGACACUUUUGUAACAAGACAAUGGAUUGUGUACACAUACAAACAUGCUUUCUUAUCGCUGCAAGUGUAUAUGGAGACAGAAGUACACAAUACGCAAUUAGUGAUCAACACCUGUUAAAGGGCCAGUUCACCUAAACAUGAAAACUUUCAUUUAUUCACCUUCAGGUUGUUUCACACAAAAUAAGAUAUUUUGAAGGGUGUUUCAACUCGUUUUGCUUAUACAAUGAAAGUAAUACAAUGGGUAAUACAAUUUUUUCUUUCUUUUUUUUUUAUUUGGGUGAAUUGUCCCUUUAACUGAAGCCAUGAAGUUCAGUGCUUUGAAAAUUGUAAUAAUUUUAACUGAGUGCAAAUAGCCAACCUUGCUGACAAAGGGAUUUUUCCACUAACUCCACCCACUGUUUCUCUGAUGUUUUACUUUUAUUAUAAAUAGCAUAUUACUUAUUUAUACUUUGUGUUAACCACAUAUAUCACUACUUGCAAUUAGUGUAAACAAGAUGCAGUGCAUUUUGUUGCUAUUUAUACUUGCUGUUUACACUGUAUAAUUAGCACCUACCUUUUUUUGCACAUAAAUUUCAGCCACAUUUACUGUUCAGUGAACUUUCACCGGCAAAAUCCAGUUAUUUCAGUACGGAAUCCACACAAGUUGGAAUUUCGUGUGAGGGCGAAAGAUUUCCCCUUGCAGAUUUGGCAACGGGUUUAAGUUGCUCACCAACAGAAACCUACUUGUUUUGAAAGUGACUUCUGUGUGAGCUGUGCUUCAAGCAUCUUUACACUAUUGACAUUAUUUGCUUGUAAAAUUGAGCUAAUUUGACCACCUUUAGUGUAAAUAAUCGCCUGCUGCCAUCUUAAUUAGUUUUUAAAUAUUGAAACUUAAAUGCUACAGUUUAAUAUUUGCAUUGUCUUUUACCAUAUAAAUCAAGCUAGGAUUUUGGGUUGCCUGCUAAUUCAAAAUGAGAUUUAUUGAGGCUAAAGCUCCACAUGCAGUUGAAUGUUUGAGCAGGUGAUGUGGAGGCCCUGGCGCUCGUGCGGGGCUGUCAGCAUUAGGCAGGAGGGCUGACCUUCUGACCCUGUUCAU
ensembl:lncRNA